UCCGUAGGUGAACCUGCGGAGGGAUCAUUACAGAGUUGAAAAACUCCAACCCCUGUGAACAUACCUUUACUGUUGCUUCGGCGGACGAUGGCCCCCCCCGGGGGCCGGACGCCGCCGGAGGUUACAAACCCUGAAUUUUAGUGUAUCUCUGAGUAUAAAACCAAAUAAUUAAAACUUUCAACAACGGAUCUCUUGGUUCUGGCAUCGAUGAAGAACGCAGCGAAAUGCGAUAAGUAAUGUGAAUUGCAGAAUUCAGUGAAUCAUCGAAUCUUUGAACGCACAUUGCGCCCGCCGGUAUUCCGGCGGGCAUGCCUGUCCGAGCGUCAUUUCACCACUCAAGCCCAGCUUGGUGUUGGGGCACCCGGCCGCCCGGCGGUCGGGGCCCCCAAGAACAUCGGCGGUCUCGCCAGGACCCUGAACGCAGUAACUCGCGGUAAAACGCGCUUCGUUCGGAGGCUUCCCGGCGGGCUCCAGCCGCUAAACCCCCUAAACUUCUUAGGUUGACCUCGGAUCAGGUAGGAAUACCCGCUGAACUUAAGCAUAUCAAUAAGCGGAGGA
rnacentral:rRNA from 1 species